rnacentral:rRNA from 1 species
AAACAAGUAUUAAAGGUCCCGCCUGCCCAGUGAAACACUUUAAACGGCCGCGGUAUCCUAACCGUGCAAAGGUAGCGUAAUCACUUGUCUUCUAAAUAAAGACUAGUAUGAACGGCUAAAUGAGGACAAAACUGUCUCUUACAGCUAAUCAGUGAAACUGAUCUCCCAGUUCAAAAGCUGGGAUAAAACCAUAAGACGAGAAGACCCUGUGGAGCUUUAAACCAACCGCUAACAAGCAUUCACAAUAAUGCACCUAGCCCUAGGUUUUAAGUUGGGGCGACUUCGGAACAAAGAAAAACUUCCGAGCAUAGAACCACCACUUCUCACCAAGGCCAACAAGCCAAGGCAAAAACCGACCCAGUCACACUGAUCAACGAACCAAGUUACCCCAGGGAUAACAGCGCUAUCUUCUUCAAGAGUCCCUAUCGACAAGAAGGUUUACGACCUCGAUGUUGGAUCAGGACACCCAAAUGGUGCAGCCGCUAUUAAAGGUUCGUUUGUUCAACGAUUUACAA